GACGAACGCUGGCGGCGUGCUUAACACAUGCAAGUCGAACGGAAAGGCCCUGCUUUUGUGGGGUGCUCGAGUGGCGAACGGGUGAGUAACACGUGAGUAACCUGCCCUUGACUUUGGGAUAACUUCAGGAAACUGGGGCUAAUACCGGAUAGGAGCUCCUGCUGCAUGGUGGGUGAAGUUCGCGUUGGGAUGGACUCGCGGCUUAUCAGCUUGUUGGUGGGGUAGUGGCUUACCAAGGCUU
rnacentral:rRNA from 1 species